UUUAAAUUUGUUUGUUUGUUUGAAACAGGGUCUUACUCUGUGGCCCAGGCUGGAGUGCAAUGGAGCCAUCAUAGCUCACUGCAGUCUAGGACUCCUGGGCUCAAGUGAUCCUUCCGCUUCAGCCUCCCAAGGAGCUAGGACUACAGGAGAGUGCCACUGCGACAGCUUUUUUUUUUUUUUUUUUUUUUGAGAGCGGGUCUCUCUAUGUUGCCUAGGCUGGUCUCAAACUCCUGGCUUCAAGCAAUCCUCCCACUUUGGCUCCCCAAAGCGCUGCCAUCACAGGCGUGAGGAACCCAGCCUGGCUGUAACACGGCAUCACACUGUAUGACAAUCUGUAAGCGGCACAGAGAGAGAGAACCGCAGCCUCCAUGGGAACGAGGAAGUGGGAACGGGAUGAGAGUUUGGAAUCGAUCUCCGUGGAAGGUCUGAAUUGCAAGGCGGGUUUCCCUGGGGACAAUCUCAACCAUAAAAAAGUUCUGCUCACAUGACUGAUGGCUUUUCAAUAACAAGUAUAUGGCGGUCUUGAAUGUGCACAGGUUGACAGUUUUCC
rnacentral:lncRNA from 10 species